GCGAGCUGGCCUGGGCUUUCGUUACUGCCUCCCCUGCUCAUGAUGGGUAUUUACAUAUCCUUAGACCCUCAGCUAGAACAAGCUGCACCUGAGAUCAGUCUCCAGUGGCGUUUUGGUCCGGGAAAGGCCCUGACCUGUGGCCACACAUUAUGUAACCAUGCCACGUGAAGUGCAUUAGGUGAUCACUCACAUGAGUCUGUGCCUGGCUUAGAGACACUGUUGUCUACAAAAGGUAUAAUUACCCUGCUAGCGGCUAUACAUAGGGCUUGUGCCCAGAAAGAGGAUAAAGCCAUAUCAAAACUCCCUACGAUUCCUGUAGUGUUUUUCCAGCUACUCCCCCACCGACUCCCCUCGGACCUCAGUUUGGGAUAGAACCUGACAAUUGGUGUCAUGAACAGGAUCCUGAGAUUUAGAAGCAGUGGCGUCCCUCUUGCGGCAACAUUUAGCAGCAUGUGGUUGGGCCGUCAACGAAUCCAAGGUCCAAGGUCCUGGAUUAUCUGCCAGAUUCUUGGGAGUUAUCUGGUCAGGCUCCAGUUAGUAGUUGCUGCCUAGGAGAUGAAGUGAAUUUCACAAGAAAGACAUAAGAAGCCAACAACUGAUUUGGAAUGAUCUGAGAGACUGACACAAAAAUGGACAAGCUGUGAAAUGCCUAGAUUCCAGAGCAACAGACUGUGAUCCAUUCCCAACAACCCCUCCCUACCGUCUGCCACCAGUUCCCUUAAAGCAGGAAUCAGAGCUAGACUGACUCAACUAAGGCAAGAAGCUUGACAUAGCAUCGAUGAGCCCAAGUCAACUAUAUGAACAAAACAAUGUCUCAGGAGGGGCAGGGUAUCACGUCAGAAGAAUCCUGAGUCCUUAGAUGACCUUGUAGAAAAGAGCCACAAACUUACUCUGGGCUACCUUCAUACCUCUGAACUAUUAUGCAGAGAGAAAUAAAUGUAUUCAAAUCACUGUUUUUUGGGUUUCUUCAUUCAUGUAGCUUAGCCUAUAACCUAAGUAA
rnacentral:lncRNA from 1 species